rnacentral:rRNA from 1 species
UACGUAGGAUCCAAGCGUUGUUCGGAUUCACUGGGCGUAAAGGGUGCGUAGGCGGUCGGGUAAGUCUGAUGUGAAGUCUCACAGCUUAACUGUGAAACUGCAUUGGAUACUAUCCGGCUAGAGGAAUGGAGGGGAGACUGGAAUACUUGGUGUAGCAGUGAAAUGCGUAGAUAUCAAGUGGAACACCAGUGGCGAAGGCGAGUCUCUGGACAUUUCCUGACGCUGAGGCACGAAAACCAGGGGAGCAAACGGG